rnacentral:rRNA from 1 species
GACGAACGCUGGCGGCGUGCCUAAUGCAUGCAAGUCGAACGCAUUCUUCGGAAUGAGUGGCGCACGGCUGAGGAACACGUGACUAACCUACCCCGGUGUGGGGGAUAACGGGUCGAAAGACUCGCUAAUCCCGCAUACGAUUCGCCUCGGCGGAGGAAAGGGGUAACGUGCACUGGGCGGGGGGCGCGUCCCAUUGGAUAGUUGGUGUGGUAAUGGCGCACCAAGUCGAUGAUGGGUCUCUGGGCUGAGAGGACGACCAGACAGAUUGGGACUGAGACACGGCCCAAACUCCUACGGGGGGCAGCAGCAAGGAAUUUUCGGCAAUGGGCGCAAGCCUGACCGAGCAACGCCGCGUGGAGGAUGACGGCUCUUGGGUUGUAAACUCCUUUUGGGGGGGACGAUAAUGACGGUACCCUCCGAAUCAGGCCCGGCUAACUACGUGCCAGCCGCCGCGGUAAAAC